rnacentral:SRP_RNA from 1 species
GCCGGGCAUGGUGGCGCGCGCCUGUAGUCCCAGCUUAUUCAGGAGGCUGAGGCAGAAGAAUCGCUUGAGCCCAUGAGGCCGAGGUUGCAGUGAGCCGACCUCAUGCCACUGCACUCUAGCCUGGGCAACAGAGUGAGACUCCACCUCAA